rnacentral:rRNA from 1 species
AUUGAACGCUGGCGGCAUGCUUUACACAUGCAAGUCGAACGGCAGCGCGGGCUUCGGCCUGGCGGCGAGUGGCGAACGGGUGAGUAAUACAUCGGAACGUGCCCAGUAGUGGGGGAUAGCUCGGCGAAAGCAGGAUUAAUACCGCAUACGACCUGAGGGUGAAAGCGGGGGAUCUUUGGACAUCGCCCUAUUUGAGCGGCCGAUGGCAGAGUAGCUAGUUGGUGGGGUAAAGGCCUACCAAGGCGACGAUCUGUAGCUGGUCUGAGAGGACGACCAGCCACACUGGGACUGAGACACGGCCCAGACUCCUACGGGAGGCAGCAGUGGGGAAUUUUGGACAAUGGGCGAAAGCCUGAUCCAGCAAUGCCGCGUGUGUGAUGAAGGCCUUCGGGUUGUAAAGCACUUUUGGCGGGAACGAAAAGGACUGUGCCAAUACCACGGUUCGAUGACGGUACCCGCAGAAUAAGCACCGGCUAACUACGUG